rnacentral:rRNA from 1 species
AGAGUUUGAUCAUGGCUCAGAAUCAACGCUGGCGGCGCGCUUAACACAUGCAAGUCGGACGAGAAAGUGGAGCAAUCCAUGAGUACAGUGGCGUACGGGUGAGUAACACGUGGAUCAUCUGCCUUUAGUGGGGAAUAACCCUGGGAAACCGGGGCUAAUACCGCAUAAGUCCGAGAGGAGAAAGCAGCAAUGCGCCGAAG